GACGAACGCUGGCGGCGUGCCUAAUACAUGCAAGUCGAACGCUUUUUCUUUCACCGGAGCUUGCUCCAUCGAAAGAAAAAGAGUGGCGAACGGGUGAGUAACACAUGGGUAACCUGCCCAUCAGAAGGGGAUAACACUUGGAAACAGGUGCUAAUACCGUAUAACACUAUUUUCCGCAUGGAAGAAAGUUGAAAGGCGCUUUUGCGUCACUGAUGGAUGGACCCGGGGUGCAUUAGCUAGUUGGUGAGGUAACGGCUCACCAAGGCAACGAUGCAUAGCCGACCUGAGAGGGUGAUCGGCCACACUGGGACUGAGACACGGCCCAGACUCCUACGGGAGGCAGCAGUAGGGAAUCUUCGGCAAUGGACGAAAGUCUGACCGAGCAACGCCGCGUGAGUGAAGAAGGUUUUCGGAUCGUAAAACUCUGUUGUUAGAGAAGAACAAGGAUGAGAGUAAAAUGUUCAUCCCUUGACGGUAUCUAACCAGGAAGCCACGGCUAACUACGUGCCAGCCGCCGCCGUAA
rnacentral:rRNA from 1 species